rnacentral:rRNA from 1 species
UCCGUGCCAGCAGCCGCGGUAAUACGGAGGGUGCGAGCGUUAAUCGGAAUUACUGGGCGUAAAGCGUACGCAGGCGGUUUGUUAAGCGAGAUGUGAAAGCCCCGGGCUCAACCUGGGAACUGCAUUUCGAACUGGCAAACUAGAGUGUGAUAGAGGGUGGUAGAAUUUCAGGUGUAGCGGUGAAAUGCGUAGAGAUCUGAAGGAAUACCGAUGGCGAAGGCAGCCACCUGGGUCAACACUGACGCUCAUGUACGAAAGCGUGGGGAGCAAACGGGAUUAGAUACCCCGGUAGUCCACGCCGUAAACGAUGUCUACUAGAAGCUCGGAACCUCGGUUCUGUU